AAGACAUUAGUAAAAUGCAAAUUACAUCACCUUGUCAAGGUGAAAUUGCAGGUUAAAUCCCUGCAUGUCUUAAGCCCUA
rnacentral:tRNA from 1 species